UGAGACGUAUGUAAUAGAGUCUCGAGAGCAGCCGGCAAUCAGGAUCUGUGAUCGCUUCAGGUGCGAGCGCACGGGGUAUAAGAUAUUUAAUAAUUAUGUUGUUACCUGCCUUGGUGAUUGGCUCCCCGCGGCCGUCGCGCCGCCGUCGCCCUCGCUGGCCGUGCGCACCCGGCAGGAGCUGCACUUGGCGGCGGGCGGCGUGGCGGCCAGGCUGUCGGUGCGCGAGCGCCGCACCAGGCCGGUCUGGCUCGGCGGCAGGUUCACCAGGUGGUGGUGGCGGCGCGCGCCGGGGACGCUGAUGGGGUGCGUGGCCGACGAGCCCGACGACUGGCUCUUGCUACGCGGCCGGAACUCGAAGAGCUCCUUGAGCGCCUUCAUGGCCUCCAGGAUGGUCUCGUGGAUGCUCUGCGCCACCACCGAGUCGUCGGCCUGCAUCCACAGCUCGCCGGGGCCCGUGACGGCCGAGCGGCCCACCUCGAUGAAGAAGUAGCUGUCCGAGUGGCCGCAGCGCCGUAUGUUCAUGAGCUGCAGCGUCACCGACGGCUGCUCGCAGUUGAGCUUCACGAAGCCGAUGGAGCGCGCCGAGAGGCACAGGCGGUACACGCCCGUCAGGUUCUUGCUCUGGCCCAGGCCCUUGGGCUUCAGGUUCACCUGCCACACCUCCCGGUAGGCGGCCGCGGCGGGCGCCAGCAGCCCGUAGCUGUCAUCGGCCGAGCCGCCCAGGGCGCCGGGCAGGGAGGCGCUGCAGGACGCGGCGGCGGCGGCGGCCGGGGGCGCGUCGCCGGCGGCCGCGCGGCCCUCGCUGACCAGGUCGGUGAGCGCGCGGUACCAGCCCUCCUGCUCCUGCUCGUUCUCGGCCGCCACGGCGAAGUACUCGUCCUUGGUGUAGACGGCGAUCAGAACCAUUCUCCUCCAUCUCCACGCCUAUUCUGUGGCGAGAAGAAGGCAGCAGGUGCAGUGGUUGGCAUCUGUCCUUUCAAUGGAAGCAUCUGGAUGUGACGUCAGGACAGCGGCAGGAGAGGGAGCUACAAGUCCUGCCGGCUCCACGUCGCAGGUUCUACCCUCAGAUCUCGACAACACUCCCCGCUGAGCCCCCGGUGUCUGGUGGGAGGACAGGGGCAGCACGGGGCUCCUUCCUUUGUGUGCUCUCUGCAGACAGAACCAGGGGAGAGCUGAGUACGCAGUUGAGUGAGGACAGCCGUCACCAGCUGGGAAACCGUGCACUGUGAAUGCUGAAUUAUGCACACCCCAAGGCAGGAGAAGUCGACAGGCCGUGUAAAGGGCUGGGAGGGCUUCAGGGUGACAUGAGGCUUGAGCCACUCCGUGCCCACCGUUUUGGAACUGCCUGUGGGGUCUGUCUGGGAAGCAGGUACCAUAAGCCCUCCUCUCAAAAGCAGCAUGACACUUGUUCUGUCUGCUCUCUGCAGGGCUGGCUGAGUAGCCUGGUGGAGAAGGGAACGCACUUCAGUCUCGGAGGACCACGGUUCAAGUCCCAUCUGCACCAUGUCUUGCUGUAUCACCCCAGGCAAGUACUGGGACCCCACUGGGCUUUGCUUCCCCGUUACCAAGCACCACGUGGCAUUAGAACCUGACAAUGAAAUUAUCACACUCAUCCAACACCCUCCGAGCCCUCACCCAGAGAGGCACAGCGUGAGAACCUCAGUGCAGAGACAAAGUGAUGUGGGCCUUGAUGGGCCAGGUUUUCACUUCUGUCGGAGGCUCAAGAGAAGUGGACGUGUACACACGCUUCCACUGCGGGAGGGGCCGCGAGGGGCCCUGGAGGAGCACAGGGCAGCCCCUGCCCCGGGAUGUAGGGGCUGUGGGACCUAGGAAGUACCUCCCACGUGAGAGCCUGGGGCUGGCCUGAGAGGGGAGUGAGGGAAGAUGGCGCGGACCCUAUUGGGGGCAGAGUGGCCUGGCCUGAGGUUGAGUCUGGGCUCUUGUCCCAAGAUCAGACACUGCCUGAGCAGGUCAGAAUGCUUCACCGCUCCAUUUCCAGUGUCCCAGCCUAGAAAUGGCGAGUGUGUGCACACAUGUGUGUUUGUAUGUGUGCACUCGUGUGUUGGCACAGGCUGGAGCCCUGGGCCAGAGUGUGCCACGGGAGGUACAGUCUGUGACACUUCCACUGGGUGCAGGCGUCCUGGCUGAUGAGGACCCACCCACAGAGAAAGGCGACACCGCCCCCUCCCGCGGGGACCCAGCUUUGAGGAAGUGGCAGCUCUGUGACGUCAUCGCCACGGAGGGGCCGGACCCCACCACACAGCCCUGCUCACCGGCACAGCAGGGCUCUGGGGCCGGCUGCAUUCAGAGCCACCCCGGGUGAUGCCUGCAGCAGCGGGAGGGCUCAGAGCCAUGCAGCCCCCUGGUCAGGAAAUGCCUCCCGUCUCUGCCUUUCACAUUCCCGCCACCUCCUGGGCACAGUGCAUGGUGCCAGGUGUCAGCGGGGCAGAGGGUGGCGCUGUGCUGCCCAGGGCACACCCCGCGGAUGGCCCAGGGCACACCCCGUGGAUGGCCUCACUGUUCACGAUUGUGUCGUGCACCAAGAACCCAGGGGAGAGUCCCAUGGAACAGCUGUUGUAAGCAAGACCGCCCGAGGGCUGAGGAGAAGAACCGGGGGCCAGUGCUGUGUUUGAUUCUGGGAGUGCCGCGUUUCACGGGACGGUCCUGAAGCCAGCAGACAAGGAGUCCAUGGAGCGCCCAGAGUCAGGCCACCUCUCCAGGUCUCCCAGCCCCUGACAGAGGGCUGCUGGCGGUCUGGGCCCUUCAGGGGAGGUGUGGUGCGAAUGUGGAACCAUGGUGGUUCCCGGAAGAGCCGGACUUCCAAUUUCCUUGAAAGACUGGCCCAGCUAUAAAUGCUUCUAAGUGAUUGCUCUCUGCAUGUUAAUCUCUGGGGCACGUGUUGUGUAUCUUGCCAUGGGCAAUUUGAUGGCACUGGGAUGAAUUACGAUGAGCUCCUGCUGUAGCCAGAGAGGGGACGUGGCCAGGAGAGGGGGGCGGGACUGGGCAGCUGAGGGUGGGAAGGGAAGGAUUCUGGUUCCUUUGCACUAAAACCAUGGUCAUGAAAGGACAGGGACCCCGCCAGCUGUGAGAUCGCCGAAGUUCUGAAUGCCCACAGGUCCUGUCCUAGUGUCUGUCACUGCCCACCGUUCUCAGCCCGCUGACUGAUUCCUGCAUCCUCUCUCCUCAGCUCCAGUGGGGGCCACCCAGCAGGGCACAGAUGCCUGCCCUGGGCGCUCUCGCAACCAGUGAGCCCCACACGCUGGCUGAGGGUGGCCAUGGUCAGCAAGUCCCUGCAGUGUGUGUGUUUGGGGGCAGCAAAGCCACACAGACUUCAGAGGGGCUGCACGGCUCUUGUGUGCAGAGCACGGCGGGGCCCCAGCUCCCUGGUUGCUCUCUGAAGACGAGGUCCUGACAGCUUAGUGCAUGAUACAAAGAAUAAAGGCCUUUUCCACUGAUUGCUCUCA
ensembl:lncRNA